rnacentral:rRNA from 1 species
AUGGACAAGAAGUCGGACGAUCGGCCGGCGACGGCGAGGAGGGACGCCAAGGAGGAGCGGAUGGGCAGGGCGGGCGUGCUGCUCAUCGUGUGCCUCUGCACGCUGCCGUUCCUGGUCUUCCUCUUCGGCGGCCGGGCGGGCGCGCCGGCCGUGUCACGUGUGGCACGACGCCGCCAAGCUCACCGCCACGGCUGGAUCAGGGUUAGCGAACGUCUCUCGUCCAAGCGCCGGCGGCGGCGCAGACGAGCUCUUCGGCGGCCUGCUCGCGCCGGGCUCCGACCGACGCGCGUGCCUGAGCCGGUACCGGCCAGUCCCCGCAUUACUACAAGCACUCUCCGUACGCACCCUCGCCGCACCUCCUGCAGAAGCUGCGCGACUACGAAGCGCGGCACAGGAAGUGCGGCCCCGGCACGCCGCCGUACGCCAGGUCCGUCGAUCACCUCCUCUCCGGCGGCGGCAGCAGCACGGAGGACGAUGAGUGCAACUACGUCGUGUGGAUCCCCUAUAACGGCCUCGGCAACCGGAUGCUGUCGCUGCUCAGCACAUUCCUCUACGCGCUCCUCACCGGUCGCGUCCUCCUCGUGCACCCCACCGACGACUUCACCGACCUCUUUUGCGAGCCGUUCCCCGGCGGGACCUGGGCGCUCCCGCCGGACUUCCCCGUGGCAGACAUGUCCCGGCUCGGGGCGCGCUCCAACGAGUCAUACGGGAACCUCCUCGACAGCAAGAAGAUCUCCAACGACCCGACCAAGGCGACAGCGCGGUCGGUGCCACCGUAUGUGUACCUGCACCUGGCGCACGACCUCCGGCGCUCGGACCGGCUCUUCUACUGCAACGAUGACCAGCUGGUGCUGGCCAAGGUGA